rnacentral:lncRNA from 1 species
GAGUACUGUGCAACUCUAGUUCACCAAUAUUUAUUGACAGGAAUGCAUUUUGUACAGCUCAUCUUAAUUAUUGCUCUGGCUGCCCAAGCUAAAGCUACUACUAUUCAAGACCUAAGGAAUGAAUUAAGUACACGUGGUCAGAAAAUAUGGACUCGUUAUCGUUCAUUUCAAGCCAGCACUAGGGGACACGAGUACAAAUGCAUAUAUGCUGAAGUGCGAAGCAUUGGGAAUGAUGAGUAUGUAUAUAUACGACAUUACGAGAUAGGCAGAACUUGGCACAGCUAUAAGUAUUAUGCGAAAGUGUUAGAAGGACGAAGACAAGGGCCAGGGCCAGUAAUGCGAGUCAGCACACAGCGAGGAAAACACGGAACAGACUAUACCCUAUAUUUUUGGGAUCCGCAAGAGCGUUGCGCCGUAUUUUUGCUGCCAAAGAAUGCUUUCACUGAUUGCGAAAUGCACGUGUGGGGUGACCACGUUCGAGCACACGUCCCCAGAUGCCAAAUGGCAUAUCAAAGAAUGUGUCAGCAACAAUGGCCUAUUUACACCGACCAGUGUGGACAUCCUUGAUUUAUUCGAAAUAUUUGGUUUGUGUUGAGGGCGAUAUGAGUUACUUGUGUACUGAAUAAAGAUUUGCAAUAAUUGUAAUGUGGGAUUAAUAUGGUG